CCUAAACUUUUCUGGUAAGCUUUCUAAUCAUUCACAAGAAAGGGAGUUUUUUCCUUUUAGAAUUUGAUGAGGAGGAGGUUUCAAAGCAAAGACAGGACUGAGGGUGGAACGCCAUUGUCUUAUUUUCUUUCUUUCUGUUUCCUAUUCAGAUUCCUCUUCUCUUUGGAGUCUUUCUUUGGCUUCAAUUUCCACCGGCAAAAGACACAGAAGUUACCGUCUUCCUUCCAAGUGGCGCUUUCAAAUUCAUCUUGUAUUUUCUACCUGCAGAAAAAGAAACAUUUGCUUCCAAACAUAUCAUUAGAAUCUUUUUGGAACUCUGGAUGCAUGAGAAAGGUAUAAAGUGAGCAUUUUUUGUGUGUUUGUGUGUGUAUGUAAUGAGCUGCUUUAGAUUCAGGGUUGAGCUGAAACACGAGGCCUUUUUGGAGUUUGGAAGAAUGACGGCCAGAGUCAGUUCUGGAAAGGAUUGAAACACAUAUACUCUUGGCUUAACUAUAUCUUACAAAAAUGAAGGGCUAAUGAGCGUCUUACUCCGUGCCAGACACUGGGCUUGGCUCCUCAAAUCCCUUAUCUGACUUAAUACCUGCAACCUUGUGACGUGGUAUCUUUUAUCUGGGGCUUCUUCGCAGGGAAGGCGGCUCUGCUGUAGAUAGGUUUUGGAAGUUCUGUUUCAUACCCUCAUCGAGCUGGCCCCAAAGCCAGUCUUUCCACAAUGCUUAACCGCGGCCAGCAUCUUUCCUUCACCCCUUCAGUGUUAAUGAGCCUCUGGGCCCUUGAUCUACUGGACAGGGCCUGUGUGGUCCUGCUGUCAAGGGGCUGACUGGGUCAGUGGGUGGGGGAGGCGGCCAGCAAGCCAGAAAUCUCAAAUGAGGACAAUGACUAGGGGAGAGGAGAGUUUAGAGGAGACUUGAAGGGUCAGGUAUAUCAGGGAUAGCGGAAGGGCAGGCAACGAAGGAGUUUGGGGUGUCCAGGGGAUGGAAGGGGUCCGAAGGGAGUGGUCCACAUUGAGAGGAGGGAGGGAGAGAAGGGACUGAGAUAGUUGGGGACAGGCAGGGUCUUUUAGGCAGACGAUGCUGGGCUUCUUUCCAAAGAUGAGAAAAAGCACUGGGCAGUUUGUGGGGUGGGGUGUGUGUGACUAUUAAGCAGGCCCUCAGGCUGGCAGCACUGAGAUCAGAGGUGGGGGUAGGCAGUGGGGGGACCACCCUGUGAGUCCACUGCCCGUCUUCACAACCGGGAUUCCCCAGUGGCACCAGAGUCUGACCUAGGCCAUGAGACCAGGAUUCAGACUUACAGAGAACUUCUCUGCAAGCCUUCCCCCGUUUUGCGUCUGGGGGAUUUUUUUUUAACUUUUUAUUUUGUAUUGGGAAAUAGCAAAACAAUGUCCUGAUAAAAGCUAUGGUUUUUCCAGUAGUCAUGCAUGGAUGUAAGAGUUGGACUAU
rnacentral:lncRNA from 1 species